rnacentral:lncRNA from 1 species
UCAUCUCAUAUUAUCCAGAGGACAGACAUUGAGACCAAAUUCUAAGGUCAGGAAGCAAGAAAUAUGCAUGUUUUUGUGUUCUGGUUUAUGAAAAUUGGAAAGAGACUAAAGUGAACACAUUUCCUUCCCAUAUGACUCUACUUCCUAAUUCUCAGAGAAACACACAAUGAAUCAAGAAAAGCUUUGGAGUUCCCUUUGAUUCUUUGACAGCUGUAGAAACACGAAUGAAUAAGACAGGACCUGAAGUAGCUUCCUUGCAGAGGAAAUACUGACAUACAAAAACAUGAAUCAAGACAGUCUUGGGACUGCAGGCGACCACCACCACACCUGGCUAAUUUUUUUGUAUUUUUAGUAGAGACCGGGUUUCACUGUGUUAGCCUGUAAUAAUCCCAUUGUUCUCUAUGCAAAUCGGACCCUAUCUGAUAUGUAAUGCUGAUUUCUGAGAGUCACUUUUAAAAAGAAACAUUGAUGAGUUAAAGUGCUUUCAGAAUAAAUACUCCCGAAAGUUUGUACUAGGAAUGAUAAAGAAAUGGAAGACAUUUCUUAAGUAACAUGGGAGAGUUAGAGAAAUAUUUGUCUUUGAAUAUUUUAGGCAAUAUUAUGUAGCAAAAGGAUUAGAUUUAUUUUGAUUUCCUGAACUAGUUAGUACAAACACAAACAUAUACUAGUUACCACCAAUGGGUAAAGGGCCCUGUAAGAUAUACAUAUAUAUAUAAAUAAAAACAAUAACUGACAGGGAUUGCCAACUCUAGUGAAAAUAAUUUCUUUACUUUUCACUCCACACACCCUUUUCUUCAAGAAACCUUGUGUACAACUUAUAAAGGGAGAGUGCGAAAAGUUUCCUCAUCAAUAGAGUUUAUAAAGAAAGUUUUAAAGGGAUCAAAUAGUUUGGGAUAAAGACCUUUUCUUGAGAAUACUAAACAUGCUAAUGAAGAUAAAAUUCAUAGACAGAUUUUGCCAAGAAGUUAUCCAUGUACUUGCACAAAAGUUUUAUUCAAUAUAGUUAACAAGUAAUUAGAAAAGCACUCUUUUUUAUAAAACUAUGUAAAACUGUAACUUCAAACAACAUACAGCUAUAUCCAAACUGGCGAAUGAAUAUGCUUUUGUCUCAUCCAAGAAAUCCAAGGCUCAGUCCUGACAGUCAAACAGGGUUAAAUAAAAGACAAGGGCUUGCAGGCAGGAACAAACAGAUGAUUCUUUCCCCAAAGGAAACACACGUAAGAGCAUUAAAUAUCAAGUGUGCCUGCCCGGCAUGGUGUGUGUCUGUAGUUCCUGGUACUGAGGAGGUGGAGGGGGGAGGAUGGCUUAACCCCAGGAGUCUGAGGCUCAAGCAAUGCACUAUGAUUAUAGGUGCACUAUGAUCCACCUGUGAGUAGCCACUGCACUCCAGCCUGGGCAACACUGCUAAACUCUGCCUCUACUGAAAAAAAAAAAAAAAAUCAAGUGUGGCCCUCCAAGCAGGGAGAAGCCUUUCAGCAGCAGAGGUAUAAUGUCGGCUCUUCCUUGAGGUAAACAGGCCCAGAAAGUACAAGCCGAACACAGGCAGGGUGGGAAGGUGGAAUGGGAAGACACAGAAGAAACAAAAUACAAUAGAGGGAAGGGAAACCAGUUAAUGCAUCAAACGCUUUAUCCCAUCAAAGGCCUAUGAACAAGGAGCUCUUGAGUUCGAGUACCAAGGCUAAAAUGGAGUGUCAAAGAGCCUGUGAGGAGACAGUUGUGGUUUCUAGUUUUAGAAGGUGUGUCACGGGCACCACUGUGGCCUUUGAUGUAUGGUAGUAGCAGAAUUAUUACAGGUGAUGCUGAAGCUGGUACUCCUAAGUUUCACAUACUUAGUCACUAGGAACUGAUGUCCCACACACAGGAUCAGCUAGUUUGCUCGGCUUUCACUAUGUUACAACUAAGGAGGUGGGGUCAGACCCAUGGCCUUCUGGAGUGCCGCCUUCACAGGUCUCAGGUGACAAGCUAUAGGAAGUGGACUGCAGGCUCAAUUGGUCUAUUGUAUGCAUGGCUAUCAAAAGAAGCUAAUAAAAUAUUAGGCUGAAGAACUGAGGUAAUGAAGGCACCAAGGAGAGUAAUAGUCCCAUUGUACUCUAUGCAAAUUGGACCCUAUCUGAUGUACAAUGCUGAUUUCUGAGAGUCACUUUUCAAAAGAAAUAUUGAUGAGUUAAAGUGCUUUCGCAAUAAAGCAAAUGCUCCUGAAAGCUUGCACUAGGAAAGAUAAAGGGAGGAUGUUAUUUACUUUUUGUAAAACUAUUUUUUUUUACAAAAAUAAUGAUAAAGUAAUAAUUUCUACUUUUUGUAAAGCCAUUAUUUUUGCCAGAGUUGGCAAUCCCUAUAUAUCCUGUUCAUCAUUUGGAUAUCAGGGACCCAGGCCUAUAGGUGGAAGAUCUGGUUGCUAAAAAGUAGAAUGAAGGGAAAUCUUAUUAAUGCUUUUUAUGCAAGUACACCCAGAGAAAAGUUCACUACAAUUAUUACAAAACUGAAGCUAAAAGGGGAAUGGAAAACUCUCAUGCCCAGAGAUAUCUUUCUAUCUAGAAUCCCAAAAUGAGACUCAAGGAGAAAUGAACUAGUUAAAAACAAGUAUCUAAAGUAAGAAGAGGGGCAGAAAAUGGAGCUGAAAAGAAAACAGGAUGUUGUCAGAGUGCAAGGAAAAGAAAAUUUACCUGAGGAGAAUGUUCAAGAACAUAUAGGGCAGAUCAGACAGAUUUUUAAGGGAAAAGAAAUUAUGGAUCUUGAUAAAAGAAAAACUUCAGCCAAAUUCAAUUUAAAGAAGUUUAAUUGAGCAAUGAACGACUCAUGAAUCAGACAGUCCCCAGAAUCACAGCAGAUUCACAGACUCCAGGGCAGCCACAUAGUGGAAGAAGAUUAUAGACAAAGGGAAAUGACAUACAGAAAUCGGCAGUGAGGUACAGAAAUAGCUGGAUUGGUUACAGGUUGACGUUUGCCUUAUUUGAACACAGUUUGAACACUUAGCAGUCCAUGAGUGGUUGAAACAUGGCUACUGGGAUUGGUCAAGACUGAGCUAUUGCUACAGGUGCAAACUCCUAAGUCAGGUUUUCAAUCUUGUCUUGUCUACCUGUUAACCCAGGUUACAGUUCAUCCACAAGGACUCAAAUAUAGAAGUACAGAGUUUUUCUCAGGCCAUAUUUAGUUUGCUUUAAUAACCUCCUGAUGACUUUUAAAGUAGCCUGGUCCCGGACUGAUAGUAAAAUUACCCC